rnacentral:rRNA from 1 species
CCUACGGGUGGCACCAGUGGGGAAUAUUGGACAAUGGGCGAAAGCCUGAUCCAGCCAUGCCGCGUGUGUGAAGAAGGCCUUCGGGUUGUAAAGCACUUUCAGUGGGGAAGAAAGCCUUGGGGCUAAUACCCUCGAGGAAGGACAUCACCCACAGAAGAAGCACCGGCUAACUCCGUGCCAGCAGCCGCGGUAAUACGGAGGGUGCGAGCGUUAAUCGGAAUUACUGGGCGUAAAGCGCGCGUAGGCGGUCUGAUAAGCCGGUUGUGAAAGCCCCGGGCUCAACCUGGGAACGGCAUCCGGAACUGUCAGGCUAGAGUGCAGGAGAGGAAGGUAGAAUUCCCGGUGUAGCGGUGAAAUGCGUAGAGAUCGGGAGGAAUACCAGUGGCGAAGGCGGCCUUCUGGACUGACACUGACGCUGAGGUGCGAAAGCGUGGGUAGCAAACAGGAUUAGAUACCCGGUAGUC